GCUAGUAAUGGCAGGUCAGCAUACUGCCGUGAAUACGUUCCCGGGCCCUUGUACACACCGCCCGUCACACCAUGAGAGUUGGAAAUACCCGAAGCCUGUGAGCUAACUUAAGGGAGGCAGCAGUCGAAGGUAGAGCCAAUGAUUGGGGUGAAGUCGUAACAAGGUAGC
rnacentral:rRNA from 1 species